rnacentral:lncRNA from 1 species
GUGCCACUAGCCGGCCUCGGCUGUUCCCUGUCCGAGGCUCUUGUCAUUUCCGCUUAUUUCCUCCACGGGUGCCGAUUUCAUGUGUGUGUUCCCGAGUGCCUGAGCCGGCUCCCGAAAUGAGUACUCGUGGUUUCCGCGUGGGAACCAACCUCGAGCGCCAGUGGCCCGCCCUCUCCGGGCUGAGGUGGCUGCUGAGGCUGGGGCUGCUCCUGAGGCUUCAGGGCCGCCCGCUGCACGGCUUUCUACCUUCCCAGGUUAGCCGCGGUCAACUUCUGCCAGGCGGAGCGAGAAAUCGCAUUUUGUCAGGGGCUGCAGCAUGCUGAAAGAAAACAGAAGCCUGUGGAGUGAGCCAAGAUCAACCAGGAAAUAAACCCUUUCCCUUGCGAUGUCUCUCCAGCGCCCUCUACUGACAAACCUGCUUUAGUGCCAGUUUGUAGAGAGACAGUUGGAUUUUUUUCCUGUUUCUGGUUAAUUGCUAAAAUCUACAGUGUGCUGAAGGUGGAGUAAAGUAUUUCCCCAAAGGAUUCCAAGCACAUCUCCCUUGCCCUUGAAUAUCUGUAUAUCUAUAUGAACAUCAAUUGAGAUAUAUAUGUGUGUGCCCCUAAUUACAUAAUUUUAAGCAUAUAUAUAAAAAUGUAAAAUCUCA